GACAGAGGGUGCAAACGUUGUUCGGAAUUACUGGGCGUAAAGCGCGUGUAGGCGGCUCUGAAAGUCGGAUGUGAAAGCCCUGGGCUUAACCUAGGAAGUGCAUUCGAAACUUCAGAGCGUUGAGUUCUGGAGAGGAAGGCGGAAUUCUCGGUGUAGAGGUGAAAUUCGUAGAUAUCGAGAGGAACACCGGUGGCGAAGGCGGCCUUCUGGACAGUGACUGACGCUGAGACGCGAAAGCGUGGGGAGCAAACAGG
rnacentral:rRNA from 1 species